rnacentral:rRNA from 1 species
UACGGGAGGCAGCAGUGGGGAAUAUUGCACAAUGGGCGAAAGCCUGAUGCAGCUAUGCCGCGUGUAUGAAGAAGGCCUUAGGGUUGUAAAGUACUUUCAUCGGGGAGGAAAAACAAAACUAAUAAUUUUAUUUCUUGACGUUACCCGAAAAAGAAGCACCGGCUAACUCCGUGUCAGCAGCCGCGGUAAUACGGAGGGUGCUAGCGUUAAUCAGAAUUACUGGGCGUAAAGAGCACGUAGGUGGUUUUUUUAAGUCAGAUGUGAAAUCCCUGGGCUUAACCUAGGAACUGCAUUUUGAAACUGAAAUACUAGAGUAUCGUAGAGGGAGGUAGAAUUCUAGGUGUAGCGGUGAAAUGCGUAGAUAUCUGGAGGAAUACCUGUGGCGAAAGCGGCCUCCUAAACGAAUACUGACACUGAGGGUGCGAAAGCGUGGGGAGCAAACAGGGAUUAGAUACC